CACAGCAAAUUCAUCAGUGUUAAAUUUCAAGUGUUAAGCCAAUUUAGAGUAAAGUGUUGAAGUUAUAGUGUAAAAUUUAGAGAAAUUAACACUAUCAGUGUGUUAAAAGCUUGUUUGCUUCAGUGUUAUCACAGAGUUACAGGUAUCCAACACCCCCUGGUGUUAUUUGCAACAUCCGGGCAUUUAUUCAGCGAUCUCGCUGAAAGAUUUUUCCAGACGCCAUUUUCUCGUGCCAUGCGGAGGAUGAGAAACGACAACUGGAACCAACCGGAUCAUGAGACACUACUUUUAAAAUUUUCUUCUUCAGGGUAGAAAGAUAUUGCUGUCAUCCUUAGAAGUUGACUGGUGAUCACCCAUCUACAAUCCUUCCUGAUGAAUCACACACCAUCCUCAGAGUGUUUCCAAGGCUGCUGGACACUAAAGAUCUGAUAGCUCAAGGUUUUAGACUCCUCUUUGGUCCACAAACAGCUGUCAAACUGCUGGAGAAGUGGCCUACAUUCUAUAAGGAAAAGGUGAUCAGAGAAGCAGAGAACCUUGACCUUACUACCACCUCAGUGCUCCACAGUUUGCUGAAGUCUGCCAGGAAUCAGUAUCAUGAUGAAUCUUCAGAAGAUCACCCAGAGUGGGACAGUGAUAUGACAUAUUUUUUGCUGCUUCUGCAUAUCCUGCCACCACAACAUUUAAAAAAGAAAAAACUGAAGAUCAGCGCAGCUCAGGUCAUGAACCAUCUAGCUGUAUUUCACAAGGUAUGUGCCAGGCUACAGUUUGUGAUUUUUAGUGGGUAGACAAACUACAUGGUUUCCACGGGGCACUGAAAAGCAUUAAAAGUCAUUAAAUAGAUUUCACGAAAAAAGGGGUCUUAAAAUUAAUGACUUUUUAUUCUAUUUAAAGUUCGUCCAAAAAUGAAAAUAAUGUCAUUUAUUACUCACCCUCAUGUCGUUCCACACCCAUAAGACCUUUGUUCAUUUUCGGAACACAAAUUAAGAUAUUUUUGAUGAAA